GCGCCUUAACUGUCAGCUGUUAUAACUCCCUCUAAUCUGCUCUGGCCUAGGUCAAUUCUUGUGUAUUUACCCUACUGACUCACCAACUGAAAUAGGGACUAUGGUAUUCCGUGACUCACAGCCAUACAGUAUUAGAGGAUGAAUAUGUUGUUAAAAACAUGGAGCCUCUUUCUCAUGGAAAUGCUUGGGAUCAUCAAAAGGCCUACAGACUUUCCCAAAGCAGAGCAAAAGUGGGAGACCAGUGGGAAGGAAGGAAGGAGGGAAGAAAGAAAGGAAGAAAACAAAAAUUUAUGAAGUGCUUAUUAAAUUUCAGGUAUUGUGUUAAAUACUGGGGAUACAAAGAUGGCCAUGCCUUCAAAGAACUUGUAUUCUAAU
rnacentral:lncRNA from 1 species